rnacentral:lncRNA from 1 species
AUUAAAUAUAUAUUUGUAUCAACAGAAGUUUAAAAAUGAAAAAUGUUCUUGCAAAAAGAUUUGACAAAUGCAUUCAAGUAAAACAAAUGAGAAUAAAGCAUAGAUUUAGGCAUCUAAACUUCAAGAUAGUGAAAUGGAUCAGGACAUCCAAUUUACUAGCUUUCAAAGAUUGUCCUGUGAAAGAGAACAUUCAGCAUAGCCAUUUCAUCUGUGAAAACUUAAGUGUGGAUCUAAAUAAUCUAUAUUUAUGUAGAUCCACACUUCACAUUACAUUUCACACUUCAACAUAAAUAUACAGGGUGUCUCACAAAUGACCGAACAUGGAGGGGGGUUGGAGUCCGAAGGAUCAUAUUUGCGUUGGUCCAUUGUGCGGUGUGGGCGAGGCGAUGCUCUACUGUGGGGAGGGAGACAGGCGAUGCUUUCUUGCAUGGAACGCGUCGCUUGUUUCGAUGUCGAUGCUGGCGAUGU